UUGACUAGGAUUUUUUUUUAGUGGUUCUGGUUUUCUCCCCUCCUCUUCUUCAGAUAGAAGAAGUGAAGCGACGGCAGUACUCCCUUGCUUUCAGCUCAGCAGGAGCCCAAGCUCAGACCUAUCAUGUCAGCUUCGAGACUUUGGCCGAGUACCAGCGAUGGCAACGGCAAGCAUCCAAGGUGGUGUCCCAGCGAAUCAGUACCGUGGAUCUCUCAUGUUACAGCCUCGAGGAGGUUCCUGAGCAUCUCUUCUAUAGUCAAGAUAUUACCUACCUCAACUUGCGACACAACUUCAUGCAGUUAGAAAGACCCGGAGGCCUCGAUACACUCUACAAAUUUUCUCAACUGAAGGGCCUGAACUUGUCCCAUAAUAAACUUGGGUUGUUUCCUAUAUUGUUAUGCGAGAUCUCUACCCUGACUGAGCUCAACGUUUCCUGUAAUGGAUUUCGUGACCUACCAAGUCAAAUUGGCAAUCUGCUAAAUCUUCAAACCCUCUGUCUUGAUGGCAACUUUCUGACUACUUUACCUGAAGAAUUGGGAAAUCU
rnacentral:sRNA from 1 species